rnacentral:rRNA from 1 species
CAAUAGCGUAUAUUUAAGUUGCUGCAGUUAAAAAGCUCGUAGUUGGAUUUCGGGUGGGAAUGGCCGGUCCGCCGUUUCGGUGUGCACUUGCUACGCCCACCUUGCUGCCGGGGACGUGCUCUUGAGUUCACGCUCGGGACACGGAGUCGGCGAGGUUACUUUGAGUAAAUUAGAGUGUUCAAAGCAGGCCUACGCUCUGAAUACAUUAGCAUGGAAUAACACGAUCGGACUCUGGCCUAUCUUGUUGGUCUGUAGGACCGGAGUAAUGAUUAAGAGGGACAGUCGGGGGCAUUCGUAUUUCAUUGUCAGAGGUGAAAUUCUUGGAUUUAUGAAAGACGAACUACUGCGAAAGCAUUUGCCAAGGAUGUUUUCAUUAA